AUUGAACGCUGGCGGCAGGCCUAACACAUGCAAGUCGAACGAGUGGCGGACGGGUGAGUAAUGUCUGGGAACGUGCCUGGUAGAGGGGGAUAACUACUGGAAAACGUAGCUAAUACCGCAUACUAUCAGAUCUGCCCAUAUCGGAUUAGCUUGUUGGUGGGGUAACGGCUCACCAAGGCGACGAUCCCUAGCUGGUCUGAGAGGACGACCAGCCACACUGGAACUGAGACACGGUCCAGACGCCUACGGGAGGCAGCAGUGGGGAAUUUUGCACAAUGGGGGCAAGCCUGAUGCAGCCAUGCCGCGUGUAUGAAGAAGGCCUUCGGGUUGUAAAGUACUUUGGGCGGGGAGGCGUUAUCUGCAGAAGAAGCACCGGCUAACUCCGUGCCAGCAGCCGCGGUAAUUC
rnacentral:rRNA from 1 species